rnacentral:rRNA from 1 species
UCCGACGGAGCAACGCCGCGUGAGUGAUGCNGGUUUUCGGAUCGUAAAGCUCUGUUGUUAGGGAAGAACAAGUACCGUUCGAAUANGGCGGUACCUUGACGGUACCUAACCAGAAAGCCACGGCUAACUACGUGCCAGCAGCCGCGGUAAUACGUAGGUGGCAAGCGUUGUCCGGAAUUAUUGGGCGUAAAGGGCUCGCAGGCGGUUCCUUAAGUCUGAUGUGAAAGCCCCCGGCUCAACCGGGGAGGGUCAUUGGAAACUGGGGAACUUGAGUGCAGAAGAGGAGAGUGGAAUUCCACGUGUAGCGGUGAAAUGCGUAGAGAUGUGGAGGAACACCAGUGGCGAAGGCGACUCUCUGGUCUGUAACUGACGCUGAGGAGCGAAAGCGUGGGGAGCGAACAGGAUUAGAUACCCUGGUAGUCCACGCCGUAAACGAUGAGUGCUAAGUGUUAGGGGGUUUCCGCCCCUUAGUGCUGCAGCUAACGCAUUAAGCACUCCGCCUGGGGAGUACGGUCGCAAGACUGAAACUCAAAGGAAUUGACGGGGGCCCGCACAAGCGGUGGAGCAUGUGGUUUAAUUCGAAGCAACGCGAAGAACCUUACCAGGUCUUGACAUCCUCUGACAAUCCUANAGAUAGGACGUCCCCUUCGGGGGCAAA